GUACUCGCUUCAGCGGUACAUAUACUAAAAUUGGAACGAUAGAGAGAAUAUUAGCAUGGCCCCUUCGCAAGGAUGACAAAAAAAAAAUGUUGGUAGAGCACUUGCCC